rnacentral:misc_RNA from 1 species
GGCAAUAUGCUACUAAGUGGAACCCGCAACCCAUGAGAUGUUGGAAACACCGGGUCUCCAAAUUCACGGCAAUCUUUAUCAAGCCAUGAAGGACCUCUUUUCAGCUGUAUUGUAUCAUACACGGCAUUUUUUAGAUCAACUCGGCCACACUGCAUUGCUUUUAUUGUGAACAAGGCAAUAUGUGGACCCAGAUAGAGGACAAAUGUGUGCAAACCAGACCCAAGACCAAUUGAGGAUGCAACACCAAGGGCAAUCCACCACAAUCCAAACCGCAAAUAAUGAGAAAGUUCCUCAAUAUGCUUUUCAUGAGGGCCAUCAAUGGUCAGAAGGAGAAUUCCAAGUGAGACCACCACAGUGCUUAAAAGCAUUAACCAACCACCUUUUGCCAAAAGGUAAAUCACCAACCGCUUAAAAUACUGAAUCAUAGCCAGAAUGAAAAAUUUCAUCGUUUUGAAAGGCUGUGUCGUCAGUGUCAGAUUUUCAAGCUCCUGUUGAUGCCUCUCAUGAAGAUCUGGGAUUGAUAUAUCCAUAUUUUGAGAAGAAGAGGUUGCUCCUUUGCCGGAACCCAUUACCAUCACAUACUAUGAUAAAAAUCUCCAACCUUUUCAGCUUUAUCUAUAAAUCUUCCAAUACAAAUACUAAAUGAGUUUGUUUAGGGAUAGAUUUCGAUCUAGCAAAAUCAGCAGAUGGGUAUAAAAUGAAUUAAUAUGUGGAAUUUGCAGCGAACAUUUUUGAGUUAAAAUUACUGGUUUGGAAAGAAAUUGGAGAUCCAAAUACCAAAAAAAGGACACGAAAAUUCAGAGAACAGAGUGCAUAAGGGGAGCUUGCGUUGAGAUCUCGCAGCGGAGGCUUUUGUCGCCCCCUCUCCUCUCUGAGAUAAAAGCGAGUCAGUCCUCUCUGCGCUGCGCAUAAAAU